GCCAGAUGGGGUAGGGUUGUAAUCUUUCAUUGUUUUGGUAAGAAAUGAGUGCAGACAAGUAUUCUUUAUUGUACUAUGUUCAAAAGUAAGAAGUCUAUGCAUCAUAGGUGUCAUGACUGGUUUCAAGUUUGUUAUGUCUUGGUUAAGGUGGCACGGUAGUAUUUGCAUUCCAGAAUUUAGGUUGCUCUUUUGUGUACCCUACUUAGGUUAAUGUAUCUAAACAGUGUGAUUGGAC
rnacentral:lncRNA from 1 species